rnacentral:tRNA from 1 species
ACCUGGCUGGCUCAGUCUGUAGAGCAUGUGACUUUUGAUCUCAGGGUCGUGAGUUCAAGCCCCAUGUUGGGCA